rnacentral:rRNA from 1 species
UACGGAGGGUGCAAGCGUUGUUCGGAAUUAUUGGGCGUAAAGCGCGUGCAGGCGGUCGGAUAAGUCAGAUGUGAAAGCCUUCCGCUUAACGGAAGAAGUGCAUUUGAAACUAUUCGGCUAGAGUACGGGAGAGGAGAGUGGAAUUCCCGGUGUAGAGGUGAAAUUCGUAGAUAUCGGGAGGAACACCAGUGGCGAAGGCGGCUCUCUGGUCCGAUACUGACGCUGAGACGCGAAAGCGUGGGGAGCAAAC